AUCGCUUCUCGGCCUUUUGGCUAAGAUCAAGUGUAGUAUAUUUAACUAGCAUGCUAGACCAUUUUUGUUUCUCUAUUCUUAAAUCUACCGAGAAUGGUCUAGAAAUGCACCGUGCUUUGAUUCAAUCUCCUUAAA
rnacentral:snRNA from 1 species